rnacentral:rRNA from 1 species
CCCCCAGUAACGGCGAGUGAAGAGGGAAGAGCCCAGCACCGAAUCCUGCAGCUUUGGUUGCUAGGAAAUGUGGUGUUUAGGACGCUUAUCCGCGUCGGUUCGGUUUGCUCCAAGUCCACCUGAUUGUGGCUUACCAGAGAGGGUGUAAGGCCCGUAAGAGCAAUGCCGUCCGAAGCCUAUUAAAAGUUGUCCUUGGAGUCGAGUUGUUUGGGAAUGCAGCUCAAAUCGGGUGGUAAACUCCAUCUAAGGCUAAAUACUGACACGAGUCCGAUAGCGGACAAGUACCGUGAGGGAAAGUUGAAAAGAACUUUGAAGAGAGAGUUCAAUAGUACGUGAAACCGCUUAGAGGCAAACGGAUGAAGCUGAAACUGACUCGGGGGAUUCAGCCAUACCUGUCGUCGCUGCCUGGUCUUCAGAUCUCAGGACUGGUGAUUGGGUGUAUUGCGACGGCGGUUUGGUGCACUUUCCCCGCGGUCUCCACCACGACCGACAGCGGCGGUGGUCUGCGGUUAGGAGAAGGUAGCUCGGCUCCUCUGGAGUUGAGUGUUAUAGCUCCCGACGUCGGACUAUCCCUUGUGUCGGAUAAGGCGAUGCCCGCCCUUUGGGCUCGCACGGCUGGUCUGUUGUGGUCCGCGCUAGUUGCACUGCUUGCAGUUCUGUUGGCGUCGCGGCUGCUCCCGGGCUGGUCCUCUGCGAGUAGGCAUCAAUAGUCUGUGGUGUUUUGGUAGGUCUUUCAUCCGACCCGUCUUGAAACACGGACCAAGGAGUCUAACAUGUGCGCGAGUCAUGGGGUUCUACGAAACCCAAAGGCGAAGUGAAGGUAAAGGCUACCUUUUGGUGGCUGAGGUGGGAUCCGGCUUUUUGGUCGGCGCACCACCGGCUCGUUCCAUUUGUUUUCAAAGGAGCGACGCAAGAGCGUACACGCUGGGACCCGAAAGAUGGUGAACUAUGCUUGCGCAGGUCGAAGCCAGAGGAAACUCUGGUGGAGGACCGCAGCGUUUCUGACGUGCAAAUCGAUCGUCAAACGUGAGUAUAGGGGCGAAAGACUAAUCGAACCAUCUAGUAGCUGGUUCCCUCCGAAGUUUC